rnacentral:lncRNA from 1 species
GCAGUGUGCGAGAGAGGUUCUGUAAAUGUAACAUUAAGAAUAAAUGGCGGUUAUCCUCCAUUCAUCUAUUUGCUGCAAGCAAGACAGAAUAAGCAAAGGGAGCAGAAGGAUAUUCAGACACUGAAAGCUGAUGUGGUUGAAACUGAAGCAGAAAUACAGAUCAUGAAGUCAUCAGAUUCUGUAACGAAAGAAAAAAUGAGAAAAGAUGCAUCUUGACUUUGCUUACCAGCAUCUGUGGCACUUUGUCCUGUACUUUGUCCUGAGUUUUGUAUUGGAUACUGGAAAGUGUUUUGCAG